rnacentral:rRNA from 1 species
GACGAACGCUGGCGGCGUGCUUAACACAUGCAAGUCGUACGGUAAGGCCCUUUCGGGGGUACACGAGUGGCGCACGGGUGAGUAACACGUGAGUAACCUGCCCACAACUUUGGGAUAACGCUAGGAAACUGGUGCUAAUACUGGAUAUGUGCUCCUGCUGCAUGGUGGGGGUUGGAAAGCUCCGGCGGUUGUGGAUGGACUCGCGGCCUAUCAGCUUGUUGGUGGGGUAGUGGCCUACCAAGGCGGCGACGGGUAGCCGGCCUGAGAGGGUGACCGGCCACAUUGGGACUGAGAUACGGCCCAGACUCCUACGGGAGGCAGCAGUGGGGAAUAUUGCACAAUGGGCGCAAGCCUGAUGCAGCACCGCCGCGUGCGGGAUGACGGCCUUCGGGUUGUAAACCGCUUUCAGCAGGGACGAAGCUUUUUGUGACGGUACCUGCAGAAGAAGCACCGGCUAACUACGUG